rnacentral:rRNA from 1 species
UACGUAGGGUGCAAGCGUUAAUCGGAAUUACUGGGCGUAAAGCGUGCGCAGGCGGUGAUGUAAGACAGGUGUGAAAUCCCCGGGCUUAACCUGGGAACUGCAUUUGUGACUGCAUCGCUGGAGUGCGGCAGAGGGGGAUGGAAUUCCGCGUGUAGCAGUGAAAUGCGUAGAUAUGCGGAGGAACACCGAUGGCGAAGGCAAUCCCCUGGGCCAGCACUGACGCUCAUGCACGAAAGCGUGGGGAGCAAACAGG